ensembl:lncRNA
UGGGGAUCUCUGCUCCCUGAGAAUGAAACUCACACCCUGAAUAUUCCCUAUCACCCACACCCGUGAGUUCCCAGACAUACGCAGCACAGAGCCCUGGGUUUGUGAUGCAUCUGUGGGGAGGGCUCCGACGUACCCCUAAACACUGGGCUCUGAGCAGGGAGAAGCAGAGAUCUGGGUGAAGGCAGAGGAUGUGGGGGCUCGGAAAGAGGGAAUUAGAAAUCUCUGUCUCAAAGAGAUUUCUUCUCUUCAGGUUCAGGGAGCGAAGGGGGAAAAAAUAAAAGAGGGGAAAAAGUGAUUUAUGGGAAUUGUGUCCCAGCUCUGGAGCAGCUCCAAGGGCCCCCCCAGCCCCAUUGAACCCAAGGUGGGGACUCCAAAGCAGCUGGAAAUAUGGCUGGGAGAGAUCGAGGCAGGCAGAGCAGGAACACAGUUAUGGGCACCUAUUGAGAAACAGAAGAAUUUCGAUGGAGAGCGGUUACAGCUCUGCGAGCAGCACCGCCAGGAGCAGAGAUCUCGAGGAUCCCCUUUGGCUUUGGCUUUCCGAAUGACAACAAAACAGAGCCACGGAAAGCAGAACACGGACCCACGUCCCCGUGCGGGCAAAGCCCCGCAGCGCCGAGCAUCGAAAACGCUGCGGGGGCGAAGGAGCGGACGGGAGGGGGGGGUGGGGGAAACUGAGCUCCUGUCGUACCCCGAAAACAUUCGUAUAUCUUCACCGUUAUAACUAAAAACGAAAGCAGAAGUCGGGAAUGCGGCGGAGCGCGGGGAAAGUCAAUCGAUCGAUUAGCGAAGAAAUCAAUAAACGAAGGAGUAAAUCUCGGAGUGAAUCGCUGCGAUUGCGGGGAGCGCUGUACCGAAAAGAAAUCGCGGCGCCGCAAACGAAACGGAGCCGAACUGCGCUCCGGGCAACGAACCGCGUCCUUCCCACGGUGCUCCUCACCCGGGGGCGGUCAGCGGCCGCUCCGGGGCCGUUUUCCCCCUCGUGGGAACGGUGGAUGCGAACAACGAGAGGGAUCGGGGCUGCGGACGGAGGGAGAACUCAUUUCCAAGUUGCUCCGCGGGACCGCGCUGAGAAUCGUUUAAAAAUCGCGCACACGCACAGAAAUAAAAAUGUUUAGGGAGGAAACGAAGCAGGAGGGAAAUGUUCCGGCGCGGGGAAAGGGAUAAUUGGGCGAACGCAGCCGGCGGAUGAACGG